GUUUGAUCCUAGCUCAGGACGAACGCUGGCGGCGUGCUUAACACAUGCAAGUCGAACGAUGAAGCCUAGCUUGCUGGGUGGAUUAGUGGCGAACGGGUGAGUAACACGUGAGUAACCUGCCCUUGACUCUGGGAUAAGCACUGGAAACGGUGUCUAAUACCGGAUAUUUCAGCUGGCCGCAUGGUCUGGUUGUGGAAAGAAUUUUGGUCAAGGAUGGACUCGCGGCCUAUCAGGUUGUUGGUGAGGUAAUGGCUCACCAAGCCUACGACGGGUAGCCGGCCUGAGAGGGUGACCGGCCACACUGGGACUGAGACACGGCCCAGACUCUACGGGAGGCAGCAGUGGGGAAUAUUGCACAAUGGGCGAAAGCCUGAUGCAGCAACGCCGCGGAGGGACGACGGCCUUCGGGUUGUAAACCUCUUUUAGUAGGGAAGAAGCGAAAGUGACGGUACCUGCAGAAAAAGCACCGGCUAACUACGUGCCAGCAGCCGCGGUAAUACGUAGGGUGCAAGCGUUGUCCGGAAUUAUUGGGCGUAAAGAGCUCGUAGGCGGUUUGUCGCGUCUGCUGUGAAAACUGGAGGCUCAACCUCCAGCCUGCAGUGGGUACGGGCAGACUAGAGUGCGGUAGGGGAGAUUGGAAUUCCUGGUGUAGCGGUGGAAUGCGCAGAUAUCAGGAGGAACACCGAUGGCGAAGGCAGAUCUCUGGGCCGUAACUGACGCUGAGGAGCGAAAGCAUGGGGAGCGAACAGGAUUAGAUACCCUGGUAGUCCAUGCCGUAAACGUUGGGAACUAGAUGUGGGGGCCAUUCCACGGUCUCCGUGUCGCAGCUAACGCAUUAAGUUCCCCGCCUGGGGAGUACGGCCGCAAGGCUAAAACUCAAAGGAAUUGACGGGGGCCCGCACAAGCGGCGGAGCAUGCGGAUUAAUUCGAUGCAACGCGAAGAACCUUACCAAGGCUUGACAUAUACGAGAACGGGCCAGAAAUGGUCAACUCUUUGGACACUCGUAAACAGGUGGUGCAUGGUUGUCGUCAGCUCGUGUCGUGAGAGUUGGGUUAAGUCCCGCAACGAGCGCAACCCUCGUUCUAUGUUGCCAGCACGUUAUGGUGGGAACUCAUAGGAGACUGCCGGGGUCAACUCGGAGGAAGGUGGGGAUGACGUCAAAUCAUCAUGCCCCUUAUGUCUUGGGCUUCACGCAUGCUACAAUGGCCGGUACAAAGGGCUGCAAUACCGUAAGGUGGAGCGAAUCCCAAAAAGCCGGUCUCAGUUCGGAUUGAGGUCUGCAACUCGACCUCAUGAAGUCGGAGUCGCUAGUAAUCGCAGAUCAGCAACGCUGCGGUGAAUACGUUCCCGGGCCUUGUACACACCGCCCGUCAAGUCAUGAAAGUCGGUAACACCCGAAGCCAGUGGCCUAACCCUUGUGGAAGGAGCUGUCUAAGGUGGGAUCGGUAAUUAGGACUAAGUCGUAACAAGGUAGCCGUACCGGAAGGUGCGGCUGGAUCACCUC
rnacentral:rRNA from 2 species